rnacentral:lncRNA from 1 species
GUACCAAAUGACCUCCGUCAGACAUUAAUCAGUCUGUUGGAAAUCUUUCUUUAAAUUUUUAUGCUUAUUUUACAAAAUGUACCUUUGUUUGUAUGUCUGUAAGAUUCAAAUCAAUCAGAGAUUUCUGAGGAACUACAAACCAAGAGUUUCUGAAAGUCAUCAGUCCUCAUGUGAACAUGCUAUACUGAGUAAUGUAGUUCUUACCCUUUCAACUCCCCG